GACGAACGCUGGCGGCGUGCUUAACACAUGCAAGUCGAACGGUGAAGCGCCUUCCUUUUUGGUGGGUGUGGAUGAGUGGCGAACGGGUGAGUAACACGUGAGUAACCUGCCCCCUUCUUCUGGAUAACCGCAUGAAAGUGUGGCUAAUACGGGAUAUUCUGGGUCUGUCGCAUGAUGGGUCUGGGAAAGAUAUUGUUUCGGUGGGGGAUGGGCUCGCGGCCUAUCAGCUUGUUGGUGGGGUGAUGGCCUACCAAGGCGGUGACGGGUAGCCGGCCUGAGAGGGUGGACGGUCACACUGGGACUGAGGCACGGCCCAGACUCCUACGGGAGGCAGCAGUGGGGAAUAUUGCGCAAUGGGCGCAAGCCUGAUGCAGCGACGCCGCGUGAGGGAUGGAGGCCUUCGGGUUGUGAACCUCUUUCGCCAGUGAAGCAGGCCUGCCUCGUUUGUGGGUGGGUUGACGGUAGCUGGAUAAGAAGCGCCGGCUAACUACGU
rnacentral:rRNA from 1 species